UGUAAUUUGCAGAGGGCGCUUUGGCUUUGGCAGCGGUCCAAGUUCCUUGGAACAGGACGUCACAGAGGGUGAGAAUCCCGUACGUGGUCGCUAGCUAUCGCCGUGUAAAGCCCCUUCGACGAGUCGAGUUGUUUGGGAAUGCAGCUCUAAAUGGGAGGUAAAUUUCUUCUAAAGCUAAAUAUUGGCCAGAGACCGAUAGCGCACAAGUAGAGUGAUCGAAAGAUGAAAAGCACUUUGGAAAGAGAGUCAAACAGCACGUGAAAUUGUUGAAAGGGAAGCGCUUGCAGCCAGACUUGCUUGCAGUUGCUCAUCCGGGCUUUUGCCCGGUGCACUCUUCUGUAGGCAGGCCAGCAUCAGUUUGGGCGGUGGGAUAAAGGUCUCUGUCACGUACCUCUCUUCGGGGAGGCCUUAUAGGGGAGACGACAUACCACCAGCCUAGACUGAGGUCCGCGCAUCUGCUAGGAUGCUGGCGUAAUGGCUGUAAGCGGCCCGUCUUGAAACACGGACCAAGGAGUCUAACAUCUAUGCGAGUGUUUGGGUGUCAAGCCCGAGCGCGUAAUGAAAGUGAACGGAGGUGGGAACCCGCAAGGUGCACCAUCGACCGAUCCUGAAGUUUUCGGAAGGAUUUGAGUAAGAGCAUGGCUGUUGGGACCCGAAAGAUGGUGAACUAUGCUUGAAUAGGGUGAAGCCAGAGGAAACUCUGGUGGAGGCUCGCAGCGGUUCUGACGUGCAAAUCGAUCGUCAAAUUUGGGCAUAGGGGCGAAAGA
rnacentral:rRNA from 1 species